GCGUACUACUUCGCGGCAACAGUUACGACAUUACAACAGCAACAGUAAUCGGAGGAGGCUUUCCCAUCACGCUUUGCCGCCGUUAUAAUUCUUAAUUUUGCUAUUCCUCUUCAGUACGUCGUUUAUACGGAUAGAGUGGGAUAUAAUGUGACCUGCGACUGACUGGCGACCAGUCCAGGGUGCAGUUUGGUUUUCAUGUGGAGUCAUCUGAGGCUCCUGCUCACCUUGUGCCCGACAGGAUAUACAGUGUGGAAAAAGGAUGGUUCGAUGAAUGGAUCUGCUGAGAUAUAUGGUUCUCCUUCCGCCAUGCCAAAGACCGUGCCUCAAGUCGGCUGUGAUCACAAUGACAGCGGCUGGAAACGCCCAUUUUUAAAUGCGUCAAACUGUUAAAAACUUUUUUUUCUAGACCGCAUCCAUGUAAAGCUUGCUGCACUAAACUUGACCUUAGCACAAUAAAUAAAUAAAUAAAUAAAUAAAUAGAUAAAUCCCUAAAUUGCUUUUAUUUAUUCAUUGUCAUUACUCAUUACAUUAUACUCAUCAUUAGUUUUUUCUCACAUAUAUAUAUUCAUUGGAUUGGACCUUUCGCUUCUGUACCGGUCAGUUCAAUUUAAAAGUUAUGUUUUUGCUUAAUGCACAACUCUCAAUGAGACAUGGCCAGGACAUCCCUCUCUUACUCUUACUUAAUGAAUAAAAUGUAUUUUUUAAUACAUGUAACAAUGUAAUCAAACCCGUCCUUAGUAAUUCUUUGUAUUGAAAUACAGAUCACAAUGUUUUCACCUUGGCAGAGGUUUGCGUCUGUUGACCUUUACCAUUGGAGUUUUCUAAUGUUAGUUAUGGAGAUUGCAUCUGUUCAUAUACAAAGUGAAACAGUGAUGUGGCGCAUAAUAUCCUCUGGUCAUAAUGCUGCAGAUAGAAAAGCAAGAUAUUCCACCCACACACCAGCUGCAGGCAGACAUGAAUCUCAUUCAAUACUUUCAUCUUGUUGCUGUAGCAACGUUGUUUACUCACAUGAUCAUUUUACCCUUACUUUUCUGUGAUCUUUUUCAACUGUUCUAUUACAUUAAGAGCAAUUGUAAUUUAUUUUCUUACUUUCUAAAUCAAUAAAUGAGCUGCGUGGAUUAUGCUCGAAAGAAAAAAAAUAAACUAUAGAAAAAUACACACAGGACUGUUAAAUUAAGCUGAAGACAAGCACAGGACUCACAGGCAGACACAAUGAGGUCGGUACUGUUUUA